CAGAGCUCUUCUUUUAAGGGGUUAAUUUUUUUUUCCCCUCUUUUUUUUUUUUGGGUCCUAAUUUUACUUGAUCCAACGCUGCAUUCGAGCUAGAUCCACUCUCUAAUCACUGAAAAAGGUGAAAACUCCAUGCUCCAAACGACACUGAUCCAAGUGUUGUGUCUUGGUUUGGUUAAUCGAUUUGGAAAUCAUUAUUGGUUGAACCUUCAAAUCCACCGGGGGUGUUUUCUCCGGAAUAAAUGUGCAGUUGUAAGUAGCAAAGAGUCAAACCUUUAAUUAAUUUGACUGUAAUGAAUAACAUAAGUAAUAUUAGCUUUACAAGUUCAAAAUAAUUAAAGCCCAACAAACAUACAAACAAAAUUCCGCUCGGCACUUUUAAGGGGAACAUAUCAUUUUUCAAACUCUUCAAUAAAAAACAAUCUACAAAUCCAUCUUCUUGAUUCAUGUCAUGUCAUUUAGUGCCUUGCAAAAGUAACUGAGAGAGCUUGACAAAAAAAUUCAGCACUUUUCUUUCAAGGGUCACGAGUGUUUCUCAGUAGAUUUGGUCACAGAAUGUUAAAUCAAUGUAACCGAGGAAAGCACUAGAAUGGUGUUCAGAUAAUUUCACUGAAGUUUCAAUUUCCUGCUCCAUUUUCAAACUUUUCAUAUAAUUCACAUGUUCUCAUGUCUGAAAAUGCAUUGAAGAAAGAUUUUCUGAAAGUUGAAACCACAAAAUGAAUAGAAGAGAGAGAGAGAGAGAGAGAGAGAGAGAGAGAGAGAGAGAGGGCCACGGUGCAGGCAAGGGCACAUGUGGGCUCUCCGGUAUUCACGUUAAGAGUGGGGUGGGUAGAAGGCUAAUAAUUCUUUCUUGUUCAACUCAAGUUACCUGCUUUAGCUGUCCACUCAAUCCUCCUCCCACAUCAGUCACAACUUUCCCUAACCUUUAGCUAGCCCAAACCCUUUGGGUUUAACAGACCUAGCCUUUGACUCCAAAACUGCAAAAAUCCACCAUCAAACCAAAGAUCAAAAAAGAGACCAGAAUAGUGGGGUGUCCACAGUGGUCAGUAGUGCAAUAGAGUUUGGAUUGGAUUUGGCCAUUUGAUGUGAAUACUGAAUGGAGAGGAGAGGAAGAGGCAGCGGGGCAGACAGUGAAGUUGGGUUUCACGUGGAGGGUAGCAAAUAUGUGGUUGCUUAGCCAUUAGUGGUGGAGACAUAGAGGGUUGAAUAAGGUAUGCUUUUGGUUUGGUUUGAAGUUUGAAGCUUCAAGUCGCUAUCUAUAGGCACACAUGCAUCUUCUUUUAACCCCCUUAGUCAAUACAGGUAACUGUUGUUCCUGUUUUGAGUAACAGAAACGCUACCUAACCCUAGUAAGUUGACACCCUAUCUCCAACGUCACUGCUUCAGUUUAGCCCAAAGUUUUUGACUUUUUUUCUUUUCCUUUCUUUUCGUUCGACCGUAUGUAACUUCAAAAUACCUAUACACGAAACUAUAUUUGUUUCUUUAAAAAAUCAAAUACAAAUUUUUAUAAAACCCACUUUUAAAUGAUCGAGUCCUUUUCAUGUGCUCUAAUCGAUCAAUCACCCAUUUUUCUAAAAAUUUAAACUUACAAGUUACAACUCUCCCUCUCGUAUGUAGGCUAUAUCAAGUACUAAGCACAAUUUGAAUUUAUAUCAAAUAAAAUAAAACUCAAUUUUAAUAUCAUAUUGAACUAUCAAUUUUAGUUCAGUAUGCGUACCAUACUCUUUAAUAGUGACCAUAUAAUUGACAUAGCAUUAUCCAAAGCAUAAGGAUUAUAUUGUAUUAUUUGAAUUGAUAUAUUGAGGGAAUUUGUAAAAUUAUUAUAUGAGAUGAGGGUUAGGAAUCGAAAUUUUUUUAAUGUUAUUUGUAUUGCUACUAAUAAGAUGAGUAUGAGAUAAGGAUAAAUCAAAUUUAGAUAAGUUUGUAAAUUCUUUUGGUAAUUUUCAUUCAAUGCCUUUAAAGUUUUGGACAAUUUAUUUGAUUUCAUUGGUUUAAAAAUUUAUUAAAUAUUUUUCUUAUUUUGAGUGAGAGGUAAUGUAAAUAAAAAUAACAAAUAAAAAUGAUAAAAGGUGUAUUUAAUAAAAUUUUAAACUAAUGAAAAUUAAAUAUAUUUAACCAAAAUUUUAGGAAAAUUAAAUGAAUUUAACUCAAUUUUUUUACGGCACAAGCCUCCUAUCCCAAUUAUAUAUAUAAUUAUUUUUUUAACAUGUGAAAUAAAAAUUUCACUUCUAAAAAAAUAAAUUAAAAAUUUUAUGUUAUUUACUUAUUUAUAAACUAUAUUUAUUUUUUAUUUUUAAAAAAUAAAAAUAAAUUUAAAUAAUAGAGACAAUGGUUAAUUAUCACUAACCAGCUAGUAGUAAUUUCUUAUGUGAAAUAUUAAUGUAGUUAAAUAAUUAUAAUUAUAUUUUAAUUUUAUUACGUUAUGUAACGAUUCGUAUUCAACUGUAUAAAUAUUGUCCGUUUUAAGUUUAAAUAAGUCAUCAUGUAAUAACUUUAACAUGUAUUUAUUAGGUUAAGAAGAGUUCGUACUUGUAUAACAUAAAAAAAAUUCUCCAAACAGACAUCUCACGAGACCAAACGAAUACCCACAUUGCAAUUAGAGAUCAAUUUUGAUAUUAUUUGUAAUGACUUGCUUUCAAUUGUGUAAAUAUUAUCCAUUUUUUAUUCAAUGGAUCCUUACAAUUUUUAAAUUCGUUUACAAUAUUAAAAAAAAGUUCAUACUUAUAAAGUAUUUUCUCUUCUAUCCAAUGUGUAAUAUCAUGACUUAAGAGGUGUUAAGCAUCUAAUGUAAUAGAUUUUUCAAUUUUUGAGAAAUUUUUUUUUGGGGGGGGUGGGGGAUUUUUAUUUUUUCUUAACGUGUUGAUAAUUGUUCUAAUUUUUCAAAAUUAUCACAUUGAUGACUUAAAAAAUUAACUUGAUUGAACUAAAAAAUGAAAUUGUAAUAACUAUUUAUGAAAAAAAAAUUCAACAAAAAAAACUAAUUGAUUUGAUAAAAGGAAUUAAAAAUAAAUUUUUCAAUAAUUUUUUAAUUUAAUUAAAAAUAUAAUAAAUAUACAAUUGUCAAAUAAAAGCUUUAAAGAAAUUUUCCCAAAAAAUUUAAAUAAAAAAAUAAUUGAUAUAAAAUUUUAUUUUAAAACUAUAAGUUUCAAUAAUUUUUAUAACUUAAAAAACUAGUUGAAGUCCUGUACAUUUAAUAUAAUUUAUAAAAAGUCCUCCUAUCAAUUUAAGAUACUUUUUGUGAAAAGUUAGUUAAAUAUAGUUAGCAUUAUUGGUUGUUUUAUCCUUACGAAAGUUGUAUCCAAAAGUUUUAAUUAUUUUUAUCAUUUUUUACCAAACUUUGUAUCAACAUCCAUGUUUUUAUAAAAUUGAAUCAUCAAUGUUUUUGCAAUAAUACUUUGACUAAUUUGAUCAUGCCAAUAAAGGUUGCUAACUUAAAUACAAAAUAAUCUUUUCCCCCAAUGUAUCAAUGCGAUCAACAAAUAGUUGGGAUAGAAUAAGGGUCACCUCCUUGUCUCCCAUAAGAUUGGAAUAGGUGUCACCUAUCCCAAACUUGUCUCAUCCAUAGAUUGAUUUGAUUUAUUUUAUUUAAAGACGAUUCAUAUAUUAAUAUUAAUAUGAUCAACAAAUAGUAGAGAUGAUAAUGGAAUGAAAUUAGGGUCACCUCUCUCCUAUAGGAUUGGAAUAGGGUCUACUCCCUUGUCUCCCGUGAGAUUGGAAUAGGGGUCACUUGUCCCCAACUUGUCUUGUGCAAAAUCUAUCUUAUUGACUUCCUUAACAAAUAAUAAUGACUUAUUUUUUUAUGACAUAAUUUCUUUUUUUUUAUUCCUCUAUCGAAAGUUUAUAAUUUUCAACCGUUAUUUAUUCUACUUAAAGAUAAUUCAUGUGUCAAUAUGAUGCACGAGUAGUGAUAAUGACUCUACUAAGGUGAUAAUAAAACUUGGACAGUUGUCUUGAUGCAAAUAUCAAUAAAUGUUUGAGACAAUAUAAAUGUAGUUUUUCUUUAAAGGUGAAUCUAGUGUUUGAGAUUAUAUGAAUGUGAUGUUUUUUUUUUUUUUUUUUUUUUUGUGAAAUGCUUUAAAAAUCUUGUGCAAAUAUAUCUUAUUGACUUCCUUAACAAAUAAUAAUGACUUAUUUUUUUAUGAUAUAAUUUCUUUUUUUUUUAUCCCCAAUCGAAAGUUUAUAAUUUUCAACCGUCAGUUACUCUACUUAAAGAUAAUUCAUGUGUCAAUAUGAUUCACGAGUAGUGAUAAUGACUCUACUAAGAUGAUAACAAAACUUAGCUUGAAAGUUGUCUUGAUGCAAAGAUCAAUAAAUGUUUGAGACAAUACAAAUGUAGUUUUUCUUUAAAGGUGAAUAUAGUGUUUGAGAUUAUAUGAAUGUGAUGUUUUUUUUUUCUUUCUUUUUGUGAAAUGCUUUAAAAAUCUUGUGCAAAUCUAUCUUAUUGACUUCCUUAACAAAUAAUAAUGACUUAUUUUUUUAUGACAUAAUUUCUUUUUUUUAUCCCCAAUCGGAAGUUUAUAAUUUUCAACCGUCAAUUACUCUACUUAAAGAUAAUUCAUGUGCCAAUAUGAUUCACGAGUAGUGAUAAUGACUCUACUAAGAUGAUAACAAAACUUGGCUUGAAAGUUGUCUUGAUGCAAAGAUCAAUAAAUGUUUGAGACAAUACAAAUGUAGUUUUUCUAUCUAGUGUUUGAGAUCAUAUUUAUUUAUUUUUAUUUUUUUUGUCUUUUUGUCUUUUUGUGAAAUGCUUUAAAAAUCUUUCAUUCAACAGUGUUAGAUGUACUUUUGAUUAAAUUCAUCAAUAUUGAGUUAUAAUGUUAUACUUGUGGUGGAUAAAAACUAGAGUGUUUGAUAAAUUGAUUUAGAAUCAUUUAAUCAUUUAAUUUAAGUUAUUAAAUAUAUAAAAUAUAUUUAGUAAAGUUAUUUAAUAUUAUAAUUUAAAAAUAAUUUGUUUUAAUUUUCAAUUUUUUUAUAUACAUGUCCAUUUUAAAGAUCAUCAAUUUUAAAAAGAAAAAAGGAAAAAAAAAAAAAGAAUGCAAGACAUUUUCUUUCUAAGGGCCUAAUUCACUCUUCUAGUUGGUCUUUCUUUUUUCUUUUUUUCUCAAAAGGAAAAAUAAAAAGCUCAACUUUUUAUUCAUUCAAGGUGGAAAAAUUGUCUGGUAAAAAGUACGUAGGUUUCAGGAGAGGGAAAAGAAAAUAAAACAUCUAUGUUGACUUUUGCGAAAAAGAAACGACAGAGGGGGGCAAAAACUAAAAACCAGCAUUUAAUUUUAUAUGAUUUUGAAAAGAUAAAAAAGAAAAAAAAAAAAAAGAAGAAGAAGAAAGGAGAAUCAAAAGGCUUUUGGGUGGAUGGAAUAGGGAUCUGACUUUCGCCUUACUUUGAAGCCAAAAAAAAAAAAAAGAGAGAGAUUUAGAUGUGGCGAAGAGGUGAGUAGUUGAGACUGUAGACAUGGCAUCUUAAGAGGAAGCAGAGGGUGAUGAGAGGAUUGAUUGAUGGAUAAUGGGCUUCAUGAGUCCUGAGUCAUGACCCAUCGCCAUGACCGUACCUGCGUGCGUAUUUAUUUAUUUUUAUGUUUUUUCCCCAUGAGAUCACCAGCUUGAGACGUAUCAGAAACACCGGGAACUGUCCAACCAUUUCCAAAUCAUGUCCUUUCCCUCUUUUAUUUCACUCUUAACUCUUACCUGCUUUUCUUUUCUCUUUUCUCUUUUGCUUUUUGUACGGAUGGUCAUUCUAUUCCCAUAUUCAACACAUCCACAUAAACACAAUACCAAUUAUAAUAAAAUUUUAAAAAUUUAAAUUUAAAUACCAUCUGAUUAUUAAACAAAUAAAUUUUAAAAUAUAGAUUUAAAUACUAUCAAAUUAUUAAAUAAAUUGUAUUUUAUAUAAUAUAUUUAAUAAUUAGAUUGAAUUUGACUUUAUAUUACUCUACAUAUUAACCUUUCAUUAUAACAUAUUUAUAAUUUAAUUGACAUAUUUAUUUCAAAUUUAUAUUAAGAAAACUAAUAUGAUUAUAUUCAUCAAAUCUAUGAACACAUAUCACAUUUGAGUUGCAUUGAGUGAUGCAUUAUUGAACCAAAUUCAAUUCACACUGAUAGAGACAGAAUCAUUAAAUAAAACCUUACUACCCUAAUUUUUUCCUAUCAUAAAUUUAUCGUAAAAUCAAACUUUAACCUUUACAUAUUAUGAAGAUUCAUUCGACACAAAUUUCAUCCAAAUAUAAUUAUAUUCAACUCAGAUCUACGAGAACAUGUCAUAUUCGAGUCAUAUUGAGUGACAUAUGGUAUCAAACCUUACCACCAUAAUUUCUACCCACAUAUUCGCCGCAAAAUCAAACUUUAAUCUAAACAAAAAAUUACUUAUAAAAUCGUAGACCGGGUGCAGGCCCAUCAUCCUAACAAGAUUUUGAUCCCUUCAGACUAUAUUUAAAACUUCAACUUUUUGUAAAAUAUAGUGCAGUAAAAUUAUUGAGGAUUUUUAGUUUCUUAUGUUUGGUGUAUUCUCUAGUUAUGAAAUAAACUGACAGCUCAUACAAUGGUUUUGAGCUUCGAUUAAGCCACAUGGGCCGAGUCUGGGUAGGUCUUGGCCCAAGACCUACCCAGAAAUUAGCUUUGGGCUAAACCUGAAGCACAGACCCUGACUGCCUUAUAUAAACAGACCAUAGCCCUACCUGCUCCGACUUGACUUGAAUUUGAAAGGUUGGAUUUUAAUUUUGCAAAAAUCAAAGACAUUUGAAUUUUGAACCGAGGCUAAUUUAACAAAAGAAAAUUAAAAUUAGUAAAUUUUUCUUGACCUCGUUAACAAUAUGUGGUUAUGAUUUUUGGCAGAUUAAAAAUUCAUAUAUUAUUUUAUUCACGCAAAUGAAUCACAAAAUUUCAUCAACCCCACAACACCCCAGCUUCGUGACACGUGGGAGACACGCGUUGAUAUACCACGAAGCUCUCGUCUUCUCUCGAUACUUCAUCCAACACGCGUCACCUGCUUCCAUACAUGUAAAUAGAGACUCGGUUCUUUAAGAACAAAUUAACUCCAGAUCAAUCCAGCUUCGGAGUUUAAGCCAUGGCCAGCGAUGAAUUUAGACUGGUGUCACCCCAAGUAAACAACGAAGGAAGAUUACCAAGAAAGUACACAGCCGAAGGCCAAGGUGCCCAGAAGCACAUAUCUCCGCCCUUGGAGUGGUACAACCUUCCAGAUGGAACCAAGACUCUGGCCCUCGUGGUUCAGGACAUCGACGCCCCCGAUCCCAAAGACCCUAUUGUGCCGUGGGUCCAUUGGGUGGUGGUCAACAUUCCACCGACCCUGAAGGGCCUGCCAGAGGGGUUCUCGGGGAAGGAGGAGGUCUACAGCGGCGAUUAUGCCGGGAUUAAGGAAGGGUACAACGAUUUCAAGCUGCCUGGGUGGCGCGGCACCAAGCUGCCAAGCCAUGGGCACAGGUUCGAGUUCAAGCUCUAUGCUUUGGACGAGGAAGUGAAGCUUGGAAACAAGGUAAUAUAUAAGUGUUUGAGGUUGACGUGAAUGUGUGGGCUUUGCAUGCAUGCAAUGCUAUUUGGGUGGUGAAUUUCUUGGAUGAUUCAAUUGGAAUUUGCAAGAUUCGAAUCCGAUUUUCAUUAUUAUUUUUUUUUGGGUGUACGCAGGUUACGAAGGAUAAGCUACUGGAUGCGAUUCAAGGGCAUGUUUUGGGAGAAGCCGUCUUGAUUGCUAUCUUCUAGAUAUUGAGUUUUUCUAUAUGCAGUGUCUCUUGCUUUGAUCUUGUCUGGUUUUUUGAGGUGUGAUAUUAAUGCGAUUUUAUAAAAAUUUGAAGUUCCAAGGUAAUAUCACUUUUUCUUUCCUGUAUUUGUGUUUGGAGAACAAUAUCCAAGGGAGUAGCAGCAAUAUGAAGGUAGCCCACACAUACCGCGUAUGGACUCAUCCUUUUCACAAGUUCAAUCGGAAAUGGGGUUAAAGUGGAUUUGUAAGAACUGCCUGGUUCUGCAAAUUUGGGCCUUGGGCAUAUGGUUACUGAUGGCUAGUCUUCUUUCAGUUUUUGAACUUGAAGCCUUUUAGGGAAGGAAAAUUUUGAUUCAAAGUCUAAAUAUCCAUGUUUUUUAAACCGUUCCUUUUAUUGAACAGACCACCUCUCUCUUUUAGAUUAUUCACAAGUUCAGCUUUCAUUGAUUCUUAAUUCAUAAUUCAUGGUUCAUAAAGUAAGUUUGAAGAGCUUCUCCAAUGACAGCUUUUGCUUGAAAAAGAGCGAGUCUAAUACGUGAUUUAUCAAAUACUUUAGAUAAGGUAUAUAAUAUCUUCUGUUCAUUUUUACUUUAACUAAUUUUUAAAAAAUUUUAAAAUUAUUUUUUCUAAAAAAAUUAUUUUUAAACAUAAAUUACAUAAAAAACAAUUAUUUAUUUAUUUAUUUAUUUUAUAUUUUUGUAUUGUUAAAAACAAAAAAUAAAAGCUACCAAUUCUAGAGUGAUAUUUUUAUUUUACUGUGCCAUGUAUAUUAAUGUGGUUAUCCAAUCAUAUUAAGAUCCGUGAAAUUAAUAAUCAAAAUUUUAUAUUAAAGAAAUCUUAUGAAGAAUAUUAAUAAUUUAAGAAAAAUAUUAAUAAUUUAAUUUUUUAUUCUUCUUAAAAUUAAGGGAGAAUUGUGUUUUAGGUUUAAGUUCAAAAAUUAAGAUGUGCUUCAUAUAUCUUACAUAAUUAAGUCCAACACCCAAAAAAAAUUUGAAAAUUGAGAAGAAGGAUAUGGUUUUUCAUUAAUUCCUAAAAUACCCUUAACCCUUACAUAGACACACAGUGAGUGUGAAUUUUAUUUUAUUUUUAUAUUUUUUUCCCUUUUCUAUUCCCUAAUUACUCAUUUCUAACUUUUUCUUUUUCUUUUUCUUCCUAUCUAUAUUUCUAUUUUAUGACAAAUAAAAAGCAAUAAGGUUUUUCUUUUUCAUUGUUUCAUUUUUAAAGAUAUUGAAUCUUUUUACUCUUAUCUUAAGCAAGAAUAAAAAUUUUGGGAUUUUUCAUCCAAACAUUUUUUAUCUUUUUGUAUUUAUCUUUUAGUUUAAUUUUCAUUUUUUAUUUUAAAUUUAUAUUACCCUUUCAUUUAUACUUUUCUCUUAUUUUUAAUUAUUUUUUAUAUUUUCUACAUUAACCAUAUUUUAAAAUUUUAAAAAUAUACUAUCACUUCACUCUUAUUAUAUAUAUAUAUAUAUAUAUCCUUUUAGCUUUUUAAUUUUUAAUGUUUUUAUUUUAAAAAAAAUUAAAAGAUAAAUUUAUUGAAAAAAAUAACUAAGAUAUGAAGUUCUAAUAUUAUAUUAAUAAUUUUUCUUAUCUAGAUAGACUAAUGUAAAGUAUUUUGACUCACAACAAAAAAAUUGUCAAUACAAUUUUUUAGUGAAACUUUAGAAAUUAAAUUUCAAAUAAAAUAUAUUAUGUAAAAUUUUAUCUAAAAAUUAUUGAAAGUGGUAUUUAAUUUUUUUUAUUGACUUUCAAACUUAUCUAAUUUUUUACUUGAAAGGUAAUAGAACAUGUUUACAAAAAAAUUAGUUUUUCAUUUUUAAAAUAAAUGAGUAUAAAUAUAUUAAAAGAAUUAAAGAUAAUUUUAGUAAAAAAUUUGAUAAAUAUGAUUAUAAUUUAAAAUAUAGAUUCAUUUGGAUAAAAUUUCACAAAAAAAAAUAGUGGAAAGAAAUAACAUUGCUCAAACUACAAAAACAAAAUAUGCAAUUACAAAAAUUUGAUGAUGAAAUUUAAAAAUAAAAUUCGAAACAAUUCUUGAGCGAGAGAAUUUGAGUGCGGAAAAAUCCUUGGGUGGAAAAAAAUGGGAAAGUUUUUCAAAAUCACUUGAAAUCCUUAACAAAAAGCAAUCUUGUACACCCUUGUACAAUUAGUAAAUUUGUCUUGUACAGUUAAUGUAAUACCUUUGUACAAUAACUCAAACUUCAUACAUCAUCUCAUAAAUAUCUAACAAUAAGUCGGUUAACCAUGUUUGCAUUGGUUUUGUUUUAAAAAAGAAGAAAAAUUGUUGUAUAAUUUUGUUUUACAAUCAUCAUAAGUGAGGUACCUAUUCAAAUGACCAUAUACAAGUUAGAUAAAGUAUAUGAGAUGAAUGUAUGCUUAACCAAUGUGUGUAAGGAAUGUCAUCUAUCAUCAAUUAGGGGAAAUAAGUAAACAAGUUUUUUCAGAAUCACUUAAAAUCCUUCAUAAAUAAUAGUCUUGUACACUCUUGUACAGUUAGUAUAUUUAUCAUGUACAUUUAGUGUAAAUACCUUGUACAGUGACUCAAAUUCCAUAUACCCUCUACUCAAUGUAUAACCAUAGGUAGAUUAACCAUGUUUUCAUUGGUUUGGUUCAAAAAAUAGUGGAAGAUGGAAAAACAAAAUUUUUUCUCAAGCAUCAUUAGUGAGAUAAGUAUUCGAAUUGUCAUAUAUGAGUUAAAAAAGUGUAUAAGAUGAGUGUAUGAUAAAGGAAUGUGUACCUUGAGAGUGUGCAAUUCUUAUAUGACAAGACAAAAAAAAAAAAUUGUUCAAAAUUAAUUGAAAUCUUUCACAGAGGAUAGCCUUGUAUACCCCUUGUAUAGUUAGAACAUUUGUCUUGUACAGUUAGAACAUUUAUCUUGUAUAGUUAAUAUAACAUCCUUGUACAAUGGUACAAAUUUCAUCCCUAUGCAUACAUUAUGUGCCAAAUGUGAUGUGUGAACUAUGUUUCCAAUGGUUUGAUUUAAAAAAUGAUAUAAAACGUAAAAACAAAAUUUUUUCAUAAAUAUAAUUAUUAAGGUAAGUAUUUGAAUUAUUAAAUGCGAGUUAAAUAAAAUACAUGAAAUAAAAGAAUUUGUGGUAGUAGAGCAUAUAAUCCUUAAAUGACAAGAAAAAAAAAAUUGUUCAAAAUGUACAGUCUUGUACACCCUUUGUACAAUUAGUGUAAUAACCUUGUAAAAUGAUAUAGAUUUCAUAUAUAUGCAAAAAUUAUAUUUACAUGAGUGUGUAAACUAUGUUCCCAAUAGUUUGACAUUUAAAAUAAUUAAAACAAAUAAAACGUUAUUUUAUUUUAUUUUCAAUGCAAAAUGUAAUUAAAAAUAAGACAAAGAAAUUACUUAAAAACUAUUAUUUAAGCCAAGUUUAUUUAUUUAUUUCCUUUUAUUUUUGGAAAGAAAGAAAAAAAUAAAAAUUUUAUUUAACCAUAAGAAAUAUAAAUAUAAGAUUAGUUAGAAAAUACAAAAUUUAUUUAUUUAUUUCAUUUUAUUUUUGGAAUUAAAGAAAAAAAAUAAAAAAUUGAUUUAACCAUAAAAAAUAUUAAUAUAAGAUAUGUUAAAAAAUAGAAAUAACCCCAAAUUUAUUUACUUAUUUCAUUUUAUUUAUUUAAAUUAGAAAGUAAUUUAUUUUAAUAGAUCAAAAAGUGCAUAAUUAAUCUAUUACUUUGUUAAUUAUGGAUGUAUUAAAAUUUUCUAUUAAACAAAAAAUAAAUAAAGAAAAUAAAAUUAAAAGAGUAAUAAAUAUAUAUAAUUGAGUUAUUUAAUUAUUUUUCAUGUAAAAGAUAGUCACACAAAAAAUACAUAAUUGACCAAUUCCUUUAUUUAAUUAUAAACAUUUUAUAUUUUUUCAUUUUAUUAUUAAAAUAACUAAUGGAAAAAAAUGGAUUUCAUAUAAAAAAUAGUACUAAACAAGGUUUUCAAUUUUUAUUUUUAAAAAUAGUUUUCAUUUUUUAAUUAAGUGUUUUUUCAAAAAGAAAAUAUAAAAAAUAUAAACCGUAUUACCAUUUUUCUAGAAAGUAUUUUUUAAAAUAGUUUUUGAACAUAAUUUUUCUUUAUUUAUAAUUUAAAUAGAAAAUAAUGCUUAUUUUCGAUUAUUUAUAUAAAAAAUUUAAAAACAAUAAAAAAUCCAAAUUGUUAAAAUAGAAUUAUUAUGGUUGCGUGAAUAAUGAUGCAAUAAAAACAAAAAAAGCUUAUGUGAAAGGUAAUUUAGUAUUUUAGUUCAUCACUAUUUUAUAUCCUUAAAAGGUAAUAUAUGAAAAUUUGAAUGGUAUAUUAGUCUCUUAACAUCUUAUAUCAUUUUCAUUAAUUAUGUAAGUUAUAUGGACCAAAUGUUAAUUUUUGGACCCAAAACACAAUUGUCUUUAAAAUUAAACUUUCUUAUUAUUUUAAAAUUUUUAGUUUUGUGAAAUAAAAUUAAUUUAAUUAAGCAAAACAUUCAAGAAGGGGUGAAUCGAGUUUUUAAACUUUUUUGAAAAUAUCCUUAAUAAAACAAGUAACAAGAUAAGGAUAUAAACAUUGUAAAAUAAGAUUUUAUAAUGAUUUGUCAAUUUAUGAUUGUGCCCAUUCUUCUCAAGCUUCUUUUGAGUGAGGGUUUUACUAUAUUGAAGCUUCCAAGCCUUUAAGUUUCCAAUGACGGUUACAAAUCUUUCUUCAAGUUAAAUCCCACAUUCUCUCAAAUGAAAUUAAAUUUUAUUUCUAAAAAUAAAUAAGAAUGAUUCAAAGGUUAUUUUUUAGGAACUACUUAAAAAAAUAUUUUCUAACAUACCAUUACCGUGUAGAAAAUAGUUUCAAAACAUACCAUUACCAUGCUAUAAUAAUAAUAACAUUUUUUUUUCACCCAACAAAUACAACAAGAUAGAGACAAAGAUGGACUUAAUAAUAUAGUUGGAAUCCAACUUAAUAUAUCGAAUUUCAGGAGAAAUAAUCUUAAAUUCCAGGAAAAUAAAGGAGCCACUAGCAAUCCAAUUCAUGGGAUGUGGAUGCAACAAGAAGUUCCACUGACAGCGGAGACAGAUAGGCAGGCAGAAGUGGGGCUCCUAAAACGACGACGUUUUGACUCUGCUGGCACUUUGGCACCGAUCUCCCUCAGCCGUUAUUACUCAUCCAUCCUGAGUUUUAGUAAAAAACUGUGAUAAAAGGAGAAAAAUAAUCGACUGGGAAGCUGUUGGGGGGGUGGGGGAAGAUGAAUAGGGAAGAGGAUUUGGAGUGGGAACUGAGGCCAGGUGGGAUGCUGGUUCAGAAGAGAGAAGAUGGUGAUAAUAAUGGUGGGGUUGGUGGUGGUGAUUCUGGGUCAGGGUCGGCCAUGAUCAACAUCAAGGUCUGUCAUGGUUCUAACCACCACCAACUCCAUGUCCCCAUUCAAUCCACUUUUGGUACUCCUUUAACCCUUUCCUUUGGGUAUUGCUUCUCAGGAAAGAAUGCCAGAAAAAGGGAAGGAAAAAUGAUUCGAUUUGGAAUUGUUUUUUUUCCCCUUUCUUUCCCGAGAACCAAACGCGAUCUCUUUGAGGUUUUCAUGUGUGGAUAUAUAUAAUUAUGCAUAUGUAUGUUUGUGUGUUAAAUUGUUACGUGUACUAGAUAUUGGGGUUUAUUCUUUGUCUGGAUUUCUGCCCUUUUGGCCUUUUAUGGUGGUAUUCAUCGUUUUCCCUACUGGUUUUCCCCUCUUUUCACACAAUCACCGAAUGACAGUUAUUUUAAAAUUUAUUUUUUCUGUGAUGGGUUGCGGUUUUUGUGAUCUUGUUCAAGCGAGGGGUUUUUUGGAUGUUUUAAAUUUGGAUUUUUUGAAUCGGCCUUUGAGUGGAUUUGGUUUAUGUAUGCUUUUAAUUGACUAUUGAUUAAAUGGAUUUGGAGUUGAUUUUGCCCAUUUGUGGAUGUGCUGGCCUGUGAGAGCUUUUUAGGUUGUUCUGAAACUUAAUUAUUGAGGUUUAUUUUUCAAAUUUAUCUGUUAUUGGGAGGGUUGAGAUUUUCAUGUCACUUUUUGGGUUUAUGGUGAUGGAACAAUAAUGUAAUGCUCUCUUGUUCUUCAAAAUAAUUUUCCAAUGAACUGUGCUUGUAUAUACAGGCUAUGCUUUAUAUUCAUUGAAAUUGAUGCAUAUUUGCUUAUGGUUCUUAUAAUGGAAGGGGAUCUGAAGAAGCGUCUUGUCCAAGAAACUGGUUUGGAGCCCAAGGACCAAAGACUCUUGUUCAGGGGAAAGGAGAUAGAUGAUCAGGAGUGUUUGCAACAGGUAGGGGUGAAGGAUAGAUCAAAGUUGUUGCUCUUGGAGGAAAUGGCAAGCAAAGAGAGGAAGCUUGAAGAGGCGAGAAGAAGUGAUGAGAUAUCAAAGGCAUGUAAAGCUGUCGCUGAAGUCAAAGCAGAAGUUGAUAAGCUCUUGGAAAAGGUGGUUCUGUUUGUCCCCUACAACCAUUUGAUCUUUGAUCAUGGAUGCUGAUUUGGGUUGCUUUAUCUUGUAGGUGGUUGCCUUAGAAGCAACUGUGAAUGGUGGGACUACUGUUGAGAACAAGGAGUUUGUUGUCUUAACAGAGUUGCUCAUGAGGCAGUUAUUGAAAUUGGAUGGCAUUGAGGCUGAAGGAGAAGCAAAAGUGCAGAGAAGGGCUGAGGUUAGUAGCCAAUGCCAGAGCGUAACUUUUUUUAGUUAAGAUAUUUUAUCCUUGUUUUUCAAGCUUGUUGUAGAUGUACAAUUUUAUAUUGUUUCCAGGAUCAUGAGUCCAGAUUCAAAUAUUUCUUUACAUAUGUGGUUUGUUAGUGUGAAUCUGAUUAAGUUUCAGAUUAAUGCUUGCUUUGUAUGAGUUGAAUUUUUUUUUGCAAGAUUAGCAUAUUUUACUUGCUGAGUAUUAUAAUCUAAGGAGUACAUGUAAUUUACUUUUUAUGAUUGGUAUCUAACCGUUAACAGAAUAGUGGGACCUGGUGUCAUUUAAAGUACUUAAAUGACAGAUUUAUGAGGUAUUAGAUUCCAGUUUUAUUAAGAGUUUUGUUGUCCCAAAAUUUUAAAAAAAUUGUUGAUGACUUCUUGUUUUGAAGAAUUUAUUAUCCUAAAGUACUUAAAAGCAAAAAAAAAAAAAAAAAAAAAAAAAAGCCAAAGACAAAUUUAUUAAGCUAAACAAAAUGGCACAACCAAAGCAUGAAAGCAAUAGACAGAAGGUGCCACACGGCAAAGGAAAAAGAUAAACUGAAGAAAAACCUCCCUCUCCUUAACUAGAGUCCAACCAGUUGAUAAAGUCUAGCAAAGAGAAGGUAGCCACAUCAAUUCACUAUUUAUACCAAAGAAAAAAGAGACAUCAAUUCACUAUUUAUACCAAAGAAAAAAGAGAAGAUAGGAAAAAAAUUUUGAGUGCUUAACAUGGUUGUUACACAUUUUCAAAUGAUCUAUGGUUUCUCUCCUAUAUAGUCCAAAAAAGCAUAAUGGAGUAGUCCUCCAAGUCUUCCUAAGAAUCUUCCUCGCAAGAUUCCCAUGCCCUGCCAAUGGAGUUUCUCUUAUUGAAGAGUCAUUAUCCAUUCAACUCCAAAUAAAGAGAAUAAGAGAUGGCAUAUAAUCCUUGUGUUAUCACACUGCAAGAGAAUGUGAUUAGUUGAUUCUUAUACAUUUUAGCAAAGAUAGCACCAAUUCACCAGUAAUUGUUAGUCAAGAUUCUCCCUCACACCACUUCCUAGCCCAAAAAAAAAAAAAAACCCUCUUUUUAUUGGGUCUACAAGUUCCAAAUAUAAAGACCUCUCCUUCUAGUUCCUCAUAAUAAUGGAAUGUUUUGAUCAAUAAAUUUUCCAUCCUUACCAACUCAACAAUUCUAAUUUCUCUUGUAUCCUCUCAAGAAAAGACCCUUCAUCUUCCAGCUUCCAACUUCCAAUCGUGGAAUUAUCUUUAGAAAGAAGGGUUUCAAUGCUCUACCCCAACUUGAUACCUCCUCCACAUAUGCAGCCCAAGCUUUCUUGGAAGUAGCAAUGACAAAAAAAGAGGAGGAGGGACUCAAGGGCAAAUCACCACACCAAACAUCCUGCCACAAGUUCACUCUCCUUCCAUCUCCCACAACUAAACUUGUUCCACUUCUAAAGUUCUCGUCCUCUCCUUAUGGCUUUUCACAAGCCCACCCUUCCUACUUUUGAACGCCAACUUCAUGCUUCUUCCCAAACUUUUGAUCAACAAUCAACUCCACGAUGACUCUCUUCUUGAGGCAAAUCUCCAACUUCAUUUGCCGAGCAAAAUUUUAUCUAGAAUAGAUAAGGCUUUGAUACUGCACUCUUUUCUUAUCCAAGCAAAAAACCAACCAAUUCACUAAACAUGGAUUUUUUCAAGGGAUUCAUCUUCCAAUGGGAAUCCCUCUAGAUCUUCUCCAAUCUCAAUUGUACCUUGUUUGGAAUAUCAAGAAGAAACACAAAAUAGAUUGGCAAGUUAGACGAAGUGCUCCUUAUAAGUCUACCACUCUUUUAGAAUUAUUGCUGCUUCCACAUUGCUAAUCUUUUGUGAAAUCUCUCCUUAAUUACAUUCCAAAUUGUUGAAGACUAGGAAGGUGCUCCUAAAGCAACACCAAGGUGGGUGACUAGGAACUUUCCAAUCCCACAUUGAAACAAAAAAGCUUAUUCCUCCACACCCGGAACCUACCAUACAGGAAGUAAUAUUACUUUUCCCAAAUUAAUUGUCAACUUUGAAACUUCCGUGAACCAUAUAAAAAUCUAGCUCAAAUACACCAAACUUAUUUUUUUGAUUGGAAAAAUGAAAGUAAAUAUAUAUAAUCCAGUGCCUAAUGUACACCAAUUUGUACUAUACAAUUGAUGGGUAGGUAUCAUAGAAAAGGAGUGUGUCAUAUGCAAAAUGAAGAUGAGAAAUCCCUAUCCCCUUCACCACUUCUCUCUCCCACCUUAAAUCCCCAAUUGUAGAAAAAGAGUGUAUCAUAGAAAUCCCCAAUUGUUCUAGACAUGUAUCACAGAAAAAGAGUGUUUCAUUUUCCAAAAGAAGAUGAAAAAUCUUUAUCCCUUCACCACUUCUCUCUCCCACCUUAAAUCCAGAAAUUAAACUUCCUGUUAUAACCUUUCUAAAAAAACAACCGAAACCCUUCAUGACCAACACCAACAAAUAGGGAGAAAAAGGAUCACCCUACCUCAACCCUCUUGUACUCUAGAAAAAGCUAAUAUAGGCAUCUUCUUUACUAACACAAAAUCUUGCUUUUGAGAUGCAAAACUUUAUCCAUUCAAUCCAUCAGUAACCAAAUCUCAUCUUAUCUAGCUCUACCUUUAGGAAACUCCAACUAACAUUGUUGUGAGGCUUCUCAAUAGCCAACUUACAAAUUCCAAUCCCCUGAGGCAGAUAGGAAAUUUGUAAAAAGCUUGACACUCCUUCCUUAAUCUUAGUCUUUCCUGAGCCAUUCAUCAUUUCAUAUAAUUUGAAUGAUUUGAUGUACAUUUUAUAUCAUAUCAUGCUAUAGAAUUUUUGUUCAUUUGUCAAUUAGGUAAAAAUUGUCAGAUUUGAAAGUGAAUUGGACAUCUUCCCCUUAGUUUAAAGAAAUUCCUUGUUGGAUUUUUUUUUUUUUUUUUUUGGUUCUUAUGGAUAGAUGAGGGCUACUGAUACCAAAACAGGUUUGGGCUGUGGUAUUAUGUAUAUGUACCAAAGAUUGAUAUUGGUAGAAUAGUCACUGAAGCAUAUGCAAAAGAUUGAUGUUGGUGGAAUAUCAAUUGAAGCUUUUAGAUUGUGUGCUUAUGGAAACUUUAAUUUGGAAGCUCCAAUAAAAUAUUGAAAAUAUCUUGGAAAAGAGAUUACACUUGGCUAUAUAUACUAUGAAUCUCUUGGGUUGUGAAUGAUAUGAAGCUCAUUAUUGGCUUGUUCAGUUCAUAUUGGUUGAUUUGGCCUGAGCUCAAGUCAACCAAAGCUUGGACAUGAGCUCUACUUCCCACUUCAAGCUUGGGUGUUGAAGGUUAUAGGUGAAAUCAAGCUUCUCAAUGAACUGAACCAAGGUGGCUCAUAAGCCUAAUCCAACACUUGUUUGUCUGUUAGGAUCUAGCAUGCUCAUCUUUACCAAUCAAGUUAGUGGCUACAACAUAACAUUGAUACUCAAGAGAUUCUUUAUGAUUCUUUAUAUGUACAAGUGGCCUUGCAUCAUUCAAUCCAAAUUCCUGUAGAGAAACAUUAUUUGUUGAACUUUUUCUUUUUAAUUACAUAGAUAUGUGUAUAUAUAUUUGUGUAUGUAUGUGUGUGUAUAUAUAUAUGUGUGUGUGUGUAUAUUCUUUUGGCCUAUCUUACCUCCUCUUUGUUUUGAACUUAAGUGGAAGAUUGAUUCAUUUGACUGAGAAGUUUCAAUGAGCUUCUUCAAAUCAAGCUGAGUUGUUCAUGAGCAACUCUCAUUCAUUUUUUAGCUCUAUGAUUCUUGCAUUAAUAUUUUCAAAACAUCCUUUGCCAGAAGUCUCAUCUUACUGUAAGUUUGUCCUACUUGGUUUAAAAGUUUGAAGUUAAUGCUGGAGCUGAUAGACCUUUACACUUGCUUUCCCUCCUUUCAGGUUUAUGCUAUUAGUAAUCCAAUUUUACCUCCUUGUCCUAUUACAUAUCAUUUAUUGUUGGAAAGUGUGUCAUUUUUAUUUAGUUCAAUUACUAGUUUCAUAAGAAUUCCUUUUGAUAAAAUAUUGUAGAGAAUAUUUCCUAUACCAAUGUUUUCUUAUUAAACCAGGAAAAGUGUUAGGAAUAUCUCUAAAAAUAUAUUAUGCCAUCAAGGGAAAAGUUAUGAGAUGGUGAUGUAUAUGGGAAUUAUCAAUGGUAGAGAUAUAAGAAAGAGAUGGGAAAACCAAUGGAGCAGGUCUUGGGUUUAAAAUGUGAAUACUAGGAGUAAGGAAUUAUGAGAUUGCUUCUGGGCUUGAGUUUUGAUCUAUGAUAGAGCAGAUUGAUUAUCUCACGAAUAUGGAUGUAGACGUGGUUGGUUGAACCAUAUUAAAUCUUGCGUCUCCUUGUAUGUGUGGAUUUGCUUCGUCUUUACUAAUAUUUGGAAAGUUAGUUAAAACAUUUAACUGGCACAACAAAGUGGCAUCAAAAGCUUCUGUUGUGACAACAAUCAUGGGGAAGGAAGGUACAUACUUUGUGAGCUGAUUAUCUUCAUGCUCAAAUUUUGGUUGGGUUCUUAAUCUAGCUUUGUGGUUCUGUUGUGAUAUCUAAUGGUAGUGAAAAAUUUGUGGGUCAGCCUUUUCAGAUGCUGAGACUUUAUGGUCUGAGUUUGUCUUUUAUGUUUUCUGGAAAGUAUGAAACGUGGAAUUGCACUUUUGUCAGUACUCCCCUCUAUAAAUGGUUAAAAGUUAAGUUAGCUUCUGCCUUUCUAGUAAAAAUGUCUGUUGGCCAUACAACUUGAAUCACAUAUAUAUUGCUAAUAAAGACUGCUGAUCAACUCAAAUCCCCGAACAGGUUCGACGUGUCCAGAGCCUUGUGGAGAUGCUAGACACCCUGAAAGCAAGAAACUCCAAUCCAUUUAGCACUAAGAGCAAUGCGGUGUCAGUGACAACCAAAUGGGAGACAUUUGAAUCUGGACUGGGAAGCCUGACCGCCCCACCCCCAAUGCCAUCUUCCACAGCAGUGAAUCAGGAUUGGGAAACAUUUGAUUAGUCUUAAGCCUCCCGCAUUGUUUGGUAUAUGGAACUUGGUAAGGUAUACAAGUCAUAAUAUAAUAUGGUACCUGGAAUGAAUUUAAUAUUGUUGUAUGCUUCAUUGGUAGUUCAUAUUUUGCUGUGGGGUACAGACCUCAAGACUGUAAAUGAAACUUCAUUUUACUAGACCAACAAUUGGUACUCAUACCAUAGAUUUAUCGAAUGUUGAACUGCUUAUUAAGCAUAUUACUUUUGAGCCUUCAAUUUCCUACUAUUUCAUGUAUUUCAUACGAUUGCUGAAGGAUAUACGUCUCUCUUUUCCUUGAAAUCAAGAAUCAAAGCUCAAAGCCUGAGGCGUUUUGCAGCUGCAUAUUAUUGUAUGUAGAUUUUUCUCUUGCUCCUUGUCCAGCAAGAGCAUAAGCUUCUUCUCCAUGCGCUGCAUCAUCCCCUAUUAUGAGCUCUUCCUCAGACAUACGAAGGGGUAUAAACUUGCUAAUCACCAGGAGGAUGAUGGAUGUAACUAUUACAUUCCAACCUAUUAUGAAGCUUGCACCAACCAACUGCUUCAGAAAUUGGACACCGCCCCGACCACCAUAGAAGGCCCCUCUGGAAUUGGGUACCACUAUGAAUAAGGCAGAGAGAUCUGGAUGAGCAAAGAGUCCCGUAAGAGCCCCACCCAAGGUUCCAGCCACAGCAUGAGUAUGGAAGACACCGAGGGUGUCAUCAAUCUUCUGCAGGAAGGGGAGUUUCUUACUAAGACACAUCAUGGUGUACCAGGGGACACUUCCAGAUGCAAUGCCCAUUAUCAAUGCAGCCCAUCCCUGAACAAGACCUGUUGCAACCAGUGUCAGGAACUAAGGAAGUGGUUAAGAGAAGAAAGUUCAAGACAGAGCUGUUAGGAGGUGCCCCACUCUUACCUGCACCAGGGGUGAUGCAGACCAACCCAGUUAUCAUUCCCUGGAUGGCGCCAAUUGCUGAGGGCUUCUUGAAGAAAAACGUAUCCCAGAAAGUCCAUACAAGGAGACUGGUUGUUGCGCAUAUAUGAGUAUUGAGAACUGCAAGGGAGGAAUCGACAUUUGCAGCAAAAGGGUCACCUCCAUUGAAACCUGUCCACCCCAUCCAAAGAAUACCAGCACCAGCCAGUGCCAGUAGAAGAUUGUUUGGUGGGAAUUGUUCCCGGUCUACCUGCAAUCUCGGUCCCACCUACAGAAAUUGAAAAAGAGAGAUAGCUUAGUCUUAGUCUAUAUUUAUAUAUAUAGAUGUAUGAGCACAGAGAGAUCCCACGUACCCAAUAAGCUGCUGUGAAUCCUGCAGCACCAGAAGCUAAAUGGACGACAUAACCACCGGAAUAGUCCAUGAUGCCCCAUUGAAAGAGGAAACCGCCGCCCCAUAUACUGAAAGCGCCAAUGCUGUAAGAAAAAGUAAUCCAUAGUGGUACAAAGGCCAUCCAAGCUUUGAUGCUCAUUCGACCCAGCACAGACCCAGCAAGGAGUAUCACAGUCACAGCAGCAAAAGCAAACUGGAAGAAAACCAUGGUAGCCAUGGGGUACAAUGGACUAGCUGCUUGCGCUAUAAAAUCCCCAUUUACAUAACGUGUCGAGGGGAGAGUAGCUCGGGGGAUUAAGAAAUCUUGGGAAACGGCAAGGCCUGCUUUGCCCCAGAAAGGUAGAAGGCGAUGGCCAAACGACAUCUUGUAAGCCCAGAGGACCCAACAAGGCAUGACUGCGGCAAAGGCAUAGAGGGCCAUGAAGGCUGAGUUGAGUGCCCAUUUCUUCUUGACAAGGCCAGCAUACAGGAUUACCAGUCCAGGCAUGCCUUGCAUGGCCACCAGGGCGGCAGAGAUCAUCUGCCAUGUGUUAUCACCCUUGUUUAGCCAGUCAGGUACAGUGGGGAGCGAUGUCUGGUAUGCUACCGGAACAACAGAUGCAGCUGCCAUUGCUGAGUCUUGAAAAAAGAAAAGUCUGAAAUUAGCCCCUAACCUUCACAGAGCUCAAACACGAGCACUUGCUUAUAUAGAUGCCAAACAUGUUUAAGAGUGUGGCUGUGGUGUUCCAUGUCAGAAUCCAAGAAUAAACAAUGGUAUCUUCAAGCAUGAAUCUUCCUUGUUGAGCGGUUGUAGCUGUAGAUGACACAGACUAGGCCGGGGUCCUACCUUGUUUGGCGUGAAUGGUGCAAUCCUCAGAUCCCAUUGACCAAAAGAGUGAGACUAGGGUGAAGCAGCUUUUGUGAUGGGGAUUGAAUUGCAGUGUGAUGAGCAUCAAAUGGUGGAUCUAAUCCUGAAUAUGGUGUUAAGCUUAUUGGUGAAUAUACCCAAGUCUUUCUCCACAUGGGAAGAUUCCGUGGAGAUUCGCAACCAAGUCAAGAUCCUUUUAAGUCAAGAAAGUGGGACAGAGGUUAAUUAAUGUGAGUAGUCCUUGGUAAUAAGGUUCAAAGCUACUUGGGGUCUGAACAUGGAAAACUCUGCACAUAAAAUCAAUGGAAUAUGUUCUGUGGGACACAAGGUGUUUUGUCUAUGUGUGAGUUCGGAGAAUCAGAAGUUUUUCUCCAUGCUGGGGGUAGAAUCACAACCUCAUAAAAUGAGCCCAGUCAGUGCAGUUUCAAUCAGUGAGAAAGAUAGGCUCUAAAUUGUCUGAUAUUAAGUUUAUUUCUUUUACCUCUUGAUUGUUUCUUAAAGAGCGAACAGUCUUACAGGUCCCAGAUUCCUAGAGUAGUCUGUUUUCCCACUAAGCUUUUUCAUUGUUGCUAUUCCAGCUAUUCAAAUUUGUUGUAUAGGACUCCCCUCUUGGUGCAAAUUCAUGAUGAUCAGAGUUGAAUUGUGACACCAUUAUUAGAUCAGAACCAGGGAACUAUAUCACAGAGAAUUGGCCUUAAAUUAGAGGGUGAUACCCAGUUUGAAAGAUGACUUGAUAGAACUAAAUUACUGAAAUUUGAGUUGAGUUUUUUCUUCAUUUUUCCCACUUUUCCCAGUUGUCUGAAUACUUCAAAGCAAAGACCAUUCCAUCAGACUUUAAUAUUCUCUUCUUUUUCUUAUGAAGUUUGAGGAUUAAACAACUUGGUUUAAAUCUUAGGAUUUAAUAUUGCAGAUCUCCAGGAGUGGGAAUCAAGGAAACCGCCAAUUUUCAAGCGUUUAAUACUAAAUUAUGUGGCACAAAUGGCUUGUAAAUAGAGGUCCUGGAUCUAGUAUCCAAAAAAAUUUUAAUUUAGUUGUUAGCUUGUACUAUCUCAUUGCAUACACGGUGAUAAACAUCUAUUCAAAUCCAAGUGCAGAAACAAUAGGCAUUUAAAUACAGAUUUACAGAAUAGGAAGCCAGCUUGGGAGAAUCAAUCAUUCAAAGAAGCAAGUCAACAAAGACUUUGUGGCCUGCGUGACCUUGAUGUCCGCUCGGCAGUGACGAGGUAUGAGUUGAGUGACCUAGAAGUGCGGUCGACGGUGACAUCUCCCUUGGUUAGCCUUUUACCGAAGAUCACUUUCGAUGACGUGACAAACAGCCUAUAUAGGAACUUCAGAAAUUUAAGUCCGGAAUAAGGAAGGUAUGAUAAAGACACGGUGCAGGCACCAACCGCCAGAUUCAUGAGAAAAACAGAGCCCCUAAGAAGAAUUUAAACUCAAGGAUCUUUAGGUUAGUCAAAAUUGUUGGGUUUUUUUCUUUUUCUUUUUGGUUUCUCCCGGAUGAAGAUAUGUAGUAGAGUUGACCUAUAUUGUAAAAUGCGGAACCAAGUGCAAAUUUCACGACUGUAAGUGGUGAAGAUGUGAAAUUCAUUUGUUAUAGGCUUCAAUGAUUGUUAUGCAUGGGAUGCACUCCAAUGAUGGCUUUGAACAUAGGGUGCUUUUACAUGUGAUGCUUUGGAUACUAGAUAGGAGUGGUGAAAACAACUUCCAUUCUUGCAACUUCUUCUCUAGAUUGAUGGACAUAAAAUGGUGAAGGAUCAAUUCCAUUGCCAUUCAUUUUCUAUGUAUGUAGAGUUUCUUUCUAUUAAUAAGUAUCACUUCUGUGGUAAGGUUGAUUUUUAGCUUUUUCAGGCUAUAUAUUAUGACCUAUUACACAUUGCUAGUCUAGACUCGAAUACAUUUGACUUUUAGGAUGUUUGUAUGAGGGAUACCAAUAACUCAGGUUGUGGUGCACUGCUUAUUAAUUAAAGGGAUGAUUUGUCUUGGUCAUCAUGAUAGUUUUUCUAUAGUAAAUGCAUUAGUGUAUGUGAUGCACAUUAGGCAGGAUCUAAGGUGAAUCAUAACGUAAGACUAUUAGUUGUUGUGAUUUACUAAGUUAUUAUAUUGCAUGGAUUCUCAACCUUGAGAGGAUAUUGAGCCUAGGCCAAAGUUAAUAGGAGACUUUGACUGAUGGGUGAAAUCAUAAGGUGGUCACAUAUCCUUAUGAAUUAGGUUAUUGUUAAUGGAGGCUGGUGACCAUAGGUAUUCUCAAAUAAAGACACCAUGAUAUCUCAUGGGUUUGAGACAAUGUGUUCCCUUGAGUGAUCCAAAGGACAUGCAAUCUAGAAGACUAUGGCUAUAACAUUUCACUUAGUGAAAUUUGACAUAUGCUUCUUAGAGGUAGAGUAUGUUAAAUACCUCUAGGGUUUAUAUAGAGUUGUCUUCCACCUCUACCAUCCCAAACACCCACUAUUUGGAGUGCAAGGUUCGAGGUUGAGUUAUCGAGCAAAAGAUCAUGGGUUUACGAGACUUCCAAUAAUUUGAGAUUUGGUCUUCUUAGAAUGGAUUUGAUUUGGAAACAUCCAAAUCAAAGGUAAUGUUUUCUAUACACAAAUCUAGAUCCUUUAAUUGCUAAAAAGUGUAUUUUUGCUUCCAUUGCAUAGGAUCUAGAUGCCCUAAGGGAGUUUUGUAGGGAAACCCAGAUCUCUUCAUUUCCUAUGCCUGGAUUAGGUUAGGAACAUGCAAAAACUUUCUUAUGCUAAUCUAAACCCUAUGCAUAAUGGGAACAUGCAUAUAAAAACAAAACUAGGAUUUAUAUAUUAAAGUUAGUAUGCUUACCUUGGAUUCAGAUGUUCCUAAAUCAAAUCCAUGUGGUGAAGAUAAAGAUCGUUGUCCUAGGAAGUCUCGUAAACCCACAAUCUUUUGCCCAAUAACUCUUCCUCGAACUUAGCACACUUCCGAUAGGAAGGGGAGGGGGAGAAGCAGGAGAAAAGAUGAAGACAAUGACUUUCUUUCUCUUUGGAAGUGGAAGACAACUCUAUAGAAACCCAAACUUGUAAGGGGGUAUUUAUAGGGUUCCUAACUAGGCUUAAGUGACUUGAUCUCACUAAGGGCUUGAGUUACUUAAUUUAACUCAAAAUGAGUCCUAAUUGAUUAAUUAAUCUAUUAAAGCUUACUAAUUAAUCAAUUAGCCUAAUCAAAAGACUUUGUUCACUUACCCCUCUGCAACCUUAUGUAAUUAUCAAAAUGCCUAUAUGCACAAAAGUGAACCCAAAGCCAAUUUAACCAUUUUAGACCGUGCCAUCAAGGUAUAUAUGAACUUGAGUUAGGAUCACUGAGACCUAUAGGAUAGUACUAGCUCUCUCAUAAUCGAAUAUGGAAGUUGAUUCAACAUCCUACUGUAGAGAAUCAAUUGCAUUUUAAUACUCUAUGUAAAUAAAGUGUUCGGGUUUGAGACUUGUUAUCCAUUGCGUUCAAUCUUCUCAUGAACUAGUAUUUGUAGUCUAACAAGGUGAUAACUAUCAACCUUUCAUGACUACCUUUAUUAUCCUUAAGUUAUAGAUCCUCCUAUUGUGUGUUCAACUAACAUAUUUUAGUUUUCUAAGAGUAUAUGUCAAGUUCCAUUUAAGAAACUACUAUAACCAUAGUUUACAUGAACACACCUACUUAGGAACACCCAAUAGGACACCUGUCUUAAUCCCAUAAGAUAUCAUGAUGCCUCUAUUGAAAAUAACUAUUACUAUUGACUUCCAUCAACGGUGACCUAGUCCAAAGGAAAUAUAUGAUCAACUUACGAUCUUACUUAUAGGUCAAAGCCACUGCUAACUUUAGAAUAUACUCAAUAUUCUCUCAAGGUUGAGAGACAAUAUAAUGAAGCAGGUUGGUGAAGUUAUGACUACUUGCUAACGUUAAGAAAUGACUUACCAUAGGUUCUGUCCAAUGUGUAAACAUACACACUACUGCACCUACCAUGAAAAACUCAUCCCAAUAGCCAAGACCAACCAUAUCUCAAAUUAGGAGGUAGUGCACUACAACCUCUAAUGGAUUACCUAAGCUCAUGAAUCGACUAUGAACAAGUAAUUUAUUUAUAAAGAAUCUAUGACUUAGUCUUUCGUGCAACUUCUAAUGUACCUAAGUCACAUACAAUGUAAUAGAUGAAGGCUAGAAUAUUUACAAGGUAUGAUGUGUGGAAUUAGGAUAGAUAAAAGUGAUUUGAAAAUGUAUUAAUAAAUAAUAAAAAUCUAACAGUUUAUUACAUCAUGUCAUACUUUUAAGGGUUAUAUCCUAAUAAUUUUCAUGCACUUAACUUGAGCUUGGGAUAGGGAAUAGGGAGACUGAGUUAUCUUACAAUCAUGUCAUUAGAUAUCGGGUGAUUAUGAUUCACAAAGCUACUAUGCUGCACGGAUUCUUGACCUUGAGAGAAUAUUUAAGCAAGUGUUAAGGUCAUCGGUGGUUUUGACCUAUAGGUGAGACCUUAAGGUGAUCAUAUAUUCGCUACGGAAUGGGCCAAUAUUGAUUAAAGUAGGUAACAAUAGAUGUUCUCCAUAGAGGCACCAUGAUAGUGUAGGGAAUCCCAUAUCACUGUGUUCUCUGGCCUUAGUUUAGUUAGGUGCAUAUAAAUCUUCCUAAGUUUUUCUAAAUCUAUGCACAAUAGAAACAAUUAAUAUUAAAAACAAUUUUAGAGCUCAAAAAUUUAGUUUAGAUGUGCUUAAAAAGAUCUUAAUGCUCUCAAAUCAUUUCCUAUUAAUGUAGAAAACCUCAAAGUUGUAAAAGAUCUUGUAGACGUAGUAAUCUUCCACCUAAUGACUCAUAUUUUAAUCUUAGCAUUCAAAUGGUGAAGAUUUAGGGGGUGGAGGCUAAGGUUCUUUGUUUGGAAUGUAAUAGAGAAUAACAAAAUAGUAUAAAACCCUAACACUUAAAAUGGGUAUUUAUGGGCUUCCCAUGAGCUUAAGUGACUUGAGCCCAUCUUAGGCUUGGGUCACUUAAUCUAGCCCAACAAGGGUCUUAAAUGAUUAAUUAAACUAAUAGGAUUUCAAUUAAUCAAUUAACCUAGUCCAAAAAUAUUGUUCAUUAACCUUUGUGUAACAUUUAUAUUUACCAAAAUGCCCUUAUGCACAUAAGUAAACCAAGAACCAAUCCAACCUUCUUAAACUGUGCUAUCAAGGAAUAUGAGUUUGAGAUUUGAUAUUCACUAUAAAAAGUUUUCCCAUGAACUAGCAUCCAUAAUCUAACAAGAUGAAAGCUAUCAGCUUUUCAAGAUUACCUUUACCAUCCUUGAGUUAUAGAUCCUCCUAUCGUGUGAUCAACUGAUAUGUUCUAGCUCACAAACAACUUAUGUCAAGUUUCACUUAAGGAACUACUAUGACCAUAAUUUAUUUGAACACACUCUCUAAGGAUCACGUAAGAGGACACACUAUCUCAAAGUUUAUGAGAUAUCAUAGUGCCUUUAUUAUUAAGAAUACCUAUUGCUAUUAGCUUCCAUCAACAAUGACCUAAUUCAUAGGAAAUAUAUGAUCACUUUAGGAUCUCACCCGUUGGUUAAAGCAACUGUAAAUUUUGGCACAAACCCAAUAUUUUCUCAUGGUUGAAAGACAAUAUAGUAUAAUAGUUUGGUGAAGUCAUUACUAUCCGAUAAUCUUAAGUCAUAGCUCACUGUAAGUCUUAUCUAAUGUGUAAUUGAACACAUUAUUGUACUCACCAUGGGAACCUCAUCUCGAUGGCUAAGACUAACUAGCCCUUCAAUUAGGAGGUGCACUUUAGCCUGAAAUGGAAUGCCUAAGUCCAUGAAUCAAUUGUGAACAAAUCAUUUGCCUUUAAGGAACCUAUGACUUGGAGCUUCUGAGCGAUUCCUAAUGCACACAAGUUAUGUAUAAUGUAAAAUAUGCCAAACUAGAAUGCUUAUAUGAUAUAAUGUAUGGAAGAAGGAUAUAUAAGAGUGAAAUUAUAGAAUCAUUAAAUAAAUAAUAAAUAUUGAAUUUGUUACAUCUAUCUUGCUUUUAAGGGCUCUAUCCUAAUAGAUAUCUAAUGGGUUUGUAAUGGGUUUGAGACAGUGUGUUCUCUUGGGUUAUCCUAAGGACAUGUGAUUAGGAAAACUAUGUUCAUAGUAAUUCCUUGGUUGGAAUCUGACACAUGUUCUUUGUGAGCUAGAAUAUAUCAGUUGAUCACAUAAUAAAAGGAUUUGUAACUCAAGGAUUGGAGAGGUAAUCUUGAGAGGUUGAUAUCACAUACCUUAGUUCAAGGGCUAUCUACAUGUAUAGGAUAGUAGAUUGUAGAUUACCUCUAAGGCCAUGGGAUAAACAAGAAACCCUGAAAACAAAGAUGAGCCUAGAAAUGAUCUAGCAUAAUUUUUCCCUAACUUAGGGUUUUAAUACUAGUUGUUGGAAUCCUUGGAAAAUUCUAUUCCAAGACUUUAUAAUCAUUGGGUUCAUGGAUCUACAAUCCUAAGGGUACUAGAUCUAUGAAAAAGAAGUAUUAAAACCAUAAAACUUAGAUCUAGGUACUAGAAAACAUGCCUUUGAUUUGUAGAUCUUAAUAUAAUCUUUUGCUCGAUGGCUCUUUCCUGGACCUUGGCAUGUGAGAAUGAUGGAGUUCUCUCUAUAGGGAUGGGGGCUAAGGCCCCUCUCUUUGCAAGACAGAAAGGCUGAAGUGUCUAACCCUAAAUCUAUAAGAUGGUUUAUAUAGAAUUCUUAAUGGACUUAAGUGACUUGUGAGCGUAUCUUGGACAUAACUCACUUAAUCUAGCCCAUUAGGCUCUAAUUAAUUAAUUAUCCCUAUCGAACUCUAACUAAUUAAUUAACCUAAUCUUGAAACACCAUUCAUAAACUCUUGUGUAACGUUACAUAUUUAUUAGAAUGUCCUUAUAUCCACAUAUGAAUAAAGAACCUAAAUAUCUCUUAAAUAGUAUGUCACCAAGGAAUAUGACCUUGAGUAGAAACCGUUAAGACUCAUAAGAAAUUACUGGCUUUUUCAAAAUUCUAAUUCUAAAGUAAACUCAAUAUCUUACGAAAAAAAGUCAACUAUAUUCUAGUAUCUUAUGAUAUGAAAUCGAGAUAUAAAGUUUAGAUCCGUGACCCAUUAACAAUUGUAUGCAAACUCUCUACGAAUUGGUGUCCAUAAUUUAAUGAAGUAAAUACUAUCAACCUCUUAAGAUUACCUCUAUAAUUCUCUAGUCUCAAAUCUUCCUAUUACAUGAUUAAUUGAUCUUGUGGAAUGAAUUAUGAUAUUAGAAAAGUCUUUUAACAAAGUGGAAUCUUAAGGGAGUCUUGUUUCAUUAUAGUUAGUUAGGAAAAAGAAAAGUUGGAGAAGUUAUUAGAAGAGACCCCUAGGGUAAAAGAAUAUUAUGAAGUUAGGCUAUUCUGUGAGGACAAACAUUCUAGAGAGAUGAGAUUAGCUCUGAGAUUUUUAAGGGAUUAACAACAGAUUUUACUACUUUAGAUAAGCAUAAUUAGAAUGAGGGGUACACCUUAGGAUGGGUAGAGAUGCAUUUGAAGUUAGGCAUCAAAUGCUUUGAUCCUUCUUAUUUUGUGCUCUGAUAGUGCAAGUUGCUUUGAAGUCUUGAUUGGUCAUUGCUUAGUGGACAACAAUAUUCUUGAAGAUGGUGUUGGUCUUUUAAGAUUAGAUUUGGAGGUAUUGAUAUUGUCUUUGUUUAAUCUUUUUAUUUUUUGUAGCCAUAGAAUAUUGAGUUUGUGAUAUUUUGCUUUGUCUAAGACUUGGUAGUGUCCCUGGUUCAACUUAAGUCCCAGGCUAGUGAUGCAGUGGGAAGAUAUUGUUGGAUCUUGUUGUGGUCAAGAUUGCAAUGGAAGUUGAAGAUAAAGAAACUAUUAUGGAGAAGGGUGAAAAAGAGGUAGUUGUUCUUCCUUUAUUCGGUCAAUAACAACAUGUUUAAUCUUGUGGCAUUACCAAAGUACUUGAAAGGAGAAUCUUGGUGAACAUGUUGAUCCCCAAGUUAGAUUUGGUGAAGGAUGAUGAUAAUAACACUAUAUCCUUCAACAUCACUCUACUAAUAAAGGUGUUUGCAUUUGAAUGGUCUUUGAUUGAAAAUGUUUUGGUCUUUUUCCUUCUUGCGGUGAAUGGAGUAGAAUUUUGAAUAUUUGAUUCUUUCUUGCACUUGUUUUCUUUUAAUCUUGUUUAUGGUGUUGUUUUACUUAUAUUAUGUUUCCUUGGCCUCUUAUGCUUAGCCAAGGUUAUCAACAAACUUUGUAAUUAGAUAUAAAGUUUUGGCUUGUCCCUACUUUUUGCUUGGUUCUUUGGAAUUGCUCUUUGAUAUAUUUAUGUAUUAUGGUGGCAUCUCUUUGGCCAAAAGAGGUUGUUGGUUGUAGUUGGUAAGAUUGACCAUGAUCAUGGUAUACAUGCGUAUUUAUUUCAGGUGAGAUCCAAGCUUAAUAUAGGCUUAACCACAUAUCCGCUUGCAAGGUUGGUUACCCUAAAAAAUAGAAUUGUAUCUUGGAAGUUCCCUUCAAGCUAUGUCUCGAUGCUGUGAUAUCUAGUUUGCAAAGAGGACCACACUUGACACCACCUUUUGAAGUAAGAACUUUCAAGAAGAGUAAUUGAUACAAUUCUAUUGUGUAGGGGAGCCAUGUCUCAUGCCAUGAUUUCUCUUUGCUGAAAGGAUUGGCACUUGGCACUGCCUUUUAAAGUAGUUCCCAUGGAAGUCUUGUUCAUGAUGUGCAUUCUUUGAUUUCUUGAUUUGGGUCUAUUUUUUUUUCUUGCAAUUUAAUUUAGGGUGAUAUUUUCAAGGAAUUUUGGAUAUAAUCAUUAUUUGUUUGGAUCUCGUUUACAUAAAAUCAACUUAUGCAAUGCACAACUACUUUCCCAUUCUUUUACUUACGUGUAAGCCACCAUGCUAUUACAUUCCAACUCAUUAUCAUUAUGUAUCUUUUGGUUUCCAUAGGAUAAGUAAUGAGACAUCAAAAUUUCCUCAACUUAUUAGUAGAGACCAAGUCUAUCUUAAGUUUAUAGGGAUGUGUUGGACUUUGUUAAUAAGUAAUUUGACCCUUGAACUUGUUUCUUCUUUGUAGGCAUUAUCUUAUUAUUUCAUUAUAGGGUUUUUUUUUCCCUUAAAAAUAUAAAACAAAGUAAAUGAUAACUCUAAAUUAUAAAUUAAACUUAAUUUAAAACAUAAAACACUUUUUUAAAAUAAAGAGUCUUAUCAUUGAGUAAGGACACAUGUGGAAAAAAAAUACGUGUUCACAACUUUUCACUAACAUCAAGCAACCACAAUAAAUAAGAUAUUUAGAUAUAGUAGGCAAUUGAAAGAGAAAUCUUUAUCAUAUUCGUUCAAUAAAGUUAGGUAUAAGCAUCAUGAAAAAGAGUGGUUCCACAAGUAAUAGAAGCAUGUGAGGCGCUAAACCAUGACCAUGAGGCAAAGGUGAGAGCUAAGAUGUUGAAAGUGCUUCUAUCCACUUUCCAGGUACAUAGUCAUAGAAAAACAUAUUUAAGGAAAAUUGUCAAAAGAUUAUUUGCAGAAGGUAUCAUCAAGAUGGAAUUUGGACGAGUUGUGUUGGCCUAACUAGAAUCCAACUCAUCAUUUGCAUUGGUUAUAAUGACAACCACUUUUAAUAGUGACGUUGGUAUUGGGUUAAGCUCAUGAACUCAAUUUUGCUUGGGAUUGAGUUCAGGGUUCAAACAAUUUGACUCUAAUCAAAACUUUAUUAAUUAUUUCAAUUAUUUAUAAUUAGUAUUAUCAUAAUAAUUAUUAUUUCAUUUUAAAAAUAAUUUUAUAGAAAAAAAUAUGAAUCCUAAUUAUAUUAUGCACUAUUUCACCUUAUAAAAAUAAAAAUAAAAAUUAUCUAUUAUGAUUACUUUAAAUAGUUUAAUUAUUUACCAUUUUAAUUUUUGUAUAUGACAAAUGUUAGAAAAAUAUUACAAGCGAUUCAACUCAAUUCAAGUUGACAUUUGAUCCAUAUCACCCAAUUAAUAUGAUCAAUCCACGUACAGCCUGAUCCACUUGACCUCAAACAUAACGCAAUGCCAGAUUGCGGGCUAGGAUGGGACACAAUCUAAAUUAAGUAUUAAGGUGACAUUCAAAAUGCAGACAAUGCUACAGAAUCUUAAAAAUAUUGGUUUCUAGGGCAUACAAGAACGGUAUAUAUUUAGGAGAGAGAUUUAGGUGAUUAUGAAUGAACCCACAAUUCCAAACUAUAGAAAAAGAAUACAAACAGAAGCUUCCACCUGAUUUUGAUUAUGGGGUAAAUGAGUGGAAGGAAUAAUCCCACAACCUGACAAGAAAGAAAAGUCAGAAGCACAUAAAUUCGGAUUUCGCAAAAGUGGACUGUGGUGGGUCUCACAAAGGAAAAAAAACGCCCCGUGGAAGGACAUUGAACGCAUCCUAAUGUGCCUGUCUUCUUCAAAACUUUUUCCACACUUAAUCUUCUUAUCAAUUAAUAUUGUCGAAUUGAAUACGCGGUUUGGCUGACUUUCGAGUCAUGGGAACAGUUCUAUUCUGUCAUGCGUUUCCACAUGCUUUACUUUUCGGUUUCUAGCUAUCUUUGGAGACAUUAAUUGGGCGGAGGUCUCGGUCAAAUCUGAUGGCUGGAAACAUGAAUCAUAGUCAUUUCUACCUAAAUUAUAAGUCCAUGAAUGCUAUGUGCACCCAGAACUUUAUUAGAUUUCAUGUACACUUCUAAAAAAGAAGCCCCUCUAACUAGUAGCCUUCAAAAUUAAAGGUAGUCUUCGAAGGUCAUGACACAAGGCCCCAAACUAUCAUUUUCAAAAUGCUUCAAGGGUAUGUAAUUGUGUCUUUAUGGUAUAUACACACCAUUCUCUGACAUUCUAAAGUAAUUGGCGAGCUUGUAUAUGAUACACAUAGUUGAGUUACAACUCCACAGUUACUCCUCUUGCACCACUGCCAUAAGGGGAUUGGGCUAUUUCCCCAGAAUACGAUGACACGUGCCAAUCUUGCUUUGUUGGGUCAUGCUUUGUUGGGUCAUACCUCUCUCCGUCACCCCAAAGGGCAUACGCUUCCUCUCCAUGGACAGCAUCAUCUCCUAUAACCAGCUCCUCGUCUGGCAUCCUCAAAGGUAGGAAUAGCUUUAUAGCUAGGAGAAUCAGUGUGGUGAUUACUAUGUUCCAACCGAUCACAAAAAGGGCUGCAACGAUUUGCUUCAUGAAUUGCUUGCCACCAUUCCCACCAUAAAAUGCACCCCUCGUAUUGCUUUCUGGUUUUAAGAGCCUGCAAAGCGCUGGUUCUGCUAAGAGUCCAGUCAGGAGGCCACCCAACAGUCCCGCCACUGCAUGCGUGUGAAAUACACCUAGUGUGUCGUCAACCUACACACCAUUGAGUGGCAUUAUUAAUAUGGGUGCCUUGAAAUUAUCCUUCUAGCUACUGGGGCAACUAAUCAAAUUCUAUGUUGAUGAUAUGCAAAUUUCAAGAGCAAAUUUUGAUUGAAUGAUCAAGGUUUCGCACAGGCCUCUUGGGGAAUUUUGCACCAAAUUGCUUAAAUACAUGCAUGUCACCUACAAUUAAUUACUUAAUGAGACAUUUUGCAGCUGCAAGCACAAAGCAAAGGGUGCUGCAUCAAUAUGAAGGAAAAAUGUAUUAUUUUCUGUACAGCACUUGAUAAGGAGAAUUACUCCUUGUCUUUUAGUUCAAAGGUUAAAAUCUUUGAAGUCUCCAAAAAAUGCACUUUGUUGGGUGGAGCAAUUUGCAUGUUCUCCACAUUUUUAUGCAUGCAAUUAGCCUCAACGUGUCCAUACAUAGUUUUUAACAUCACAAAAGUGGAAAGGAACAAAUACCAUUAUCCAACAGCUAGCCUUUCACCAAUAAUAAUUGUGGUCAUAUAUAUCAGUUGGUCUUGGGGGCCUAAGUAUGUCAAUAGGUAGGCCACCUACCUGCCGUCUCCCUUUCCUCAAGAUUGGAAUUGGGAUAGGAAAGCUGUGCAGACUAGCAGCCUAACACCUAGCAAUUGAACAAUUGUGUGGACAUAUGCACUAGAGGUAUAUGACGAAGAUGUAUAAUAUGUAGUAACAGUAUGAAAAUUAAAGGGCUGGGUGUGAAACAAUACUAUAUACCUUUUGUAGUAAUUUGGACUUUUUAUGAAGGAUCAUCAUGGACACCCAUGGAAUGCUGCCGGAAAGUAUUCCCAUCACUAUUGCCGCCCAAGAUUGCACUACGCCUAAAACCGCAACAACAACAGUAUCCUUCAUCAGUUCUAUAGCUAUGACAAAUUUUCAGGUUAAGAUAUGCCCUUUAUAGUUGUUUCAAAAUUACCUGCUCCUGGAGUAAUGCAAACAAGGCCUGUCAUCAUUCCCUGAACAGCUCCGAUCACGGAUGGUUUCUUGAAGAAGAUGACAUCCAAAGAAGUCCAUACAAGGAGGCUGGUUGCUGCACAUAUGUUUGUGUUGAGAACUGCUNNNNNNNNNNNNNNNNNNNNNNNNNNNNNNNNNNNNNNNNNNNNNNNNNNNNNNNNNNNNNNNNNNNNNNNNNNNNNNNNNNNNNNNNNNNNNNNNNNNNCCCUAUCACUCUUCAAUCUGGGUCCGACCUGUACCAAACAUUAGGCGAGUUUAGCAACUCCAUGAGCGCUUUUUAAGAAAAUGCUUAGGCGCAUUCAGAACAAAGAACGGGCAAAUUUGACUGAACCAAUGAUCGAAUAUACAGUAGUACCCAAUAAGCUGCAGUGAGACCAGCAAUUCCUGAAGAGAGGUGGAUGACAUAACCUCCGGAGUAAUCGAUGACGCCCCACUGGUAGAGGAAGCCACCACCCCAAAGACUGAAGGCGCCAACAGUGUAGGAGAAGAUGAGCCAAAGAGGCACAAAGGCCAUCCAUGCCUUAAUGUUCAUCCGACCAAGAACGGACCCAGCAAGCAGGAUAAGCGUAAUGGCCGCAAAAGUGAACUGAAAGUAGACAAGCGUGGCCAUGGGAUAGAAAGGCUCGCUGCCGGUCUCGGGCACAGCCGCUUGGCGGAUGAGGUACUUCUGGCCCAAAGCUGGGGCACCCUUCCCCCAAAAAGGCAGGAGCUGGUCACCAAAGGCCAUGCGGUAGCACACAAGAACCCAGCAAAUGAGGACGGCCGCGAAGGCGUAGAGGGCCAUGAAAGCUGAAUUCACAGCCCAUUUCUUCUUCACAAUGCUUCCGUAAAGGAUGACAAGGCCCGGAACGCUUUGGAUGCUCACAAGGGUGGAUGCAGUCAUUUGCCAUGCGUUGUCGCCCUUGUUUAGCCAUUCAGGGACUGCUGGGAGGAGGGCGUCGUAGGCGCCUGUUGUUCCCAUGGCUAUGAGUUUGAUGAUGAGUUUCAAGUCAGAAAAACUGGCCUGAUAUCUAUGCGAAUGUUGAUGGGGUGUGAAAAGGUUGAAGGGGCGGCGGCAGAGGUCGGAGGGUGGGAGGCGUGUUUGGGGAGGAAGCUUCGUUUGCAAGGGCCGUGACAGAGGACCGAGGAUACGGAAUUCGUGUGAAAGUCUUCGGUCUAACAUCGCACGUGACCAUGGUCUAUAGGCCAUGACAUUUCAACCAAUUCUCAUCUUCAUCUCCCUCUUCAUAAAGUAUCAGUGCCCAAUUUUCUUUUGUAGACUUUAUUUUAAAAAUACUUUAUCAUGUGGACAACUUUACCCUUUGUUUUAUAAUGCACUUGUCCCCUUUGUCUUUUUUCUUAAUUUUUAUUUUAAUUUUUAAACGUAGAUAAGUGGCUGCUAAAAUAUUAAGUCAAUGUUUGAAAAUUCCAUUAUUACCCGCUUAAAGUAUUGAUAAACCUUUAAAUUCUAUUCUUAAUGUUUAUCUAAUCAUCAUAAUGGAAAAUGAGUUGUAUAUUUUAGUCAUUCCAUCCUUGUUACAAGAAAGAUAUCAUUACUUAUUAAAUAUUUCUUAUUUAAAAUAAUCGAUGCUAAUGGAAUGGUUUUAUAAUCCCUCCUCAUCCUACCCACUCUAAUUAUUUAAGUUUAUGGGUGCCAUGGGUACGUCAGAGUAGAUAUGAGAAUUUUUCGUAUUUGAUCUAUCUCGUAUAAUUAUUUUUAAAAAUAAUUAUAAUUUAUAAAUAAAUAUAUAUUAUAAAUUAUUUUUAAAACAGAUAAAUUUAAUUUAAUUUAUUAUGCUAAAAAAAUAAAUUAAAUAUUUUAUUUAUAUAUAUCUUCUUACAAAGUGAUGCAACUCCUAAAAAAUACUCACUUCAUUAUUAUUCUUAUUUAAAUAAUAUUUAAAAAAAUUAAAAUUAUUCUAAUCAAGUAACGAAAUAUUGAAAAUUUGUUAAUUUACAAUUAAAUUACUAUGUUUUCUAAUUAAAAAGUUUUAAAGCAAACUUUCUUUCUUCCUAUCAAUUAAUCCCCGUGCAACUAAUUUUGAAAAUUCUAUGAAAUGGGGCCAAUGUAAUUAUUGGCACGGACCAUUUCCUGGAGGAGAGGGCAUGUUUUAAAUUCGUAUAUAACUCAACUCAGGUUCAAGUCAAACCCUAUCUUUUAUGUCACGCCACUGAGGCCUUUUCAUACAGGCAAAUUAAGCGUCAUCUCUUAGAAAUUGCAAAGAAAUCAAGAAAAUGGAUUACUUGUUGUACAAGGGUACAUUUGCCAGGCUCCUUUCCUUCUCAUUUUUGAGCUCUUGAAACCAUAUACAAGAAAUUUUGCCACUCCUUUGUGACAACUUGGUCUUGGUAUUUGUCAAUGCUUGUAUGUAGCCAUGGUUUAGAACAAGAAGCUAUGGUAAUUCUUGAAAAAUAUCAAGAAAAGAAAAAAAAUUUAUUUACUUAUACUUGAUUUUUAUCCUAAAAAAUAUAAAAGAAAGUCAAAUAUAAUUUAAAUUAAUAAAAUCUUUACAUAUUUUUAAAUUAUUUAAUCUUGACAAAGAAUAUUUAAAUAAGUAAAAUGAGUUUAAAUUAAUAUAUAAAAAUGAUUAAUUGAUUUUAAAUUUAUUUUAUAUUUUAUUUUAUUUUCUUAUGUUUCAAACUUUGGUUCUAAAAGAGGAAAUAACAGAAAAUAAUGGUCGCUACACUACCUAUUGCUUGUAUUAAAUUUCAACAAUUUUCUUAUCAUUCUUCUCAUCCUUAUUCCUAUUCUUAAUCUUUUAAUUUAUUGUCACCAAAAUAGGUAAAGAGAAAGUGAUAAAAUACAGUGUUUUAAAAACUAGAUCGGAUUGGUUGGUCCAACCGUCGACAAAGUGGACCGUUCUGGGAUUGAACAACAAAUCAUGAUGUUGUUAAAUAUGUUAUCAUAUUAAACACAAAUGAGAAUAUAAGAUCACUUCAACAUGUUAAACAAAGGUUAAUUUCAUUACUUAUGUUUAAUAGUAAAGUACGUUUAGUUUCAUUGGCAAUAAUAUUGGUAGGGCAUCUCUUCAAUUUCAAAUUUGAUAUUUAUGUCAUCAUGAUUUGUUGUUCUUCUCAUCCUUAGAUUUAAUUCAAUAUAACAUCAUUUCCUAUCCUUAAGCUUUUAAUUUCUUGUUACCAAAUUUGAAAACCAAACCAUUUCCCAUCCUUAAGCUUUUAAUUUCUUGUCACCAAAUUUGAAAACCUUAGAGUAUAUUUAGUUUCAUUGGCAGUAAUAUUGGUGGAACAUCUCUUCAAUUUCAAAUUUGAUAUUUUUUAUGUCAUCAUGAUUUGUUGUUCUUCUCAUUCUUAGAUUUAAUUCAAUACAACAUCAUUUCCCAUCCUUAAGCUUUUAAUUAACCAGACCAGCGUUGCAAAAAAAAAAAAAAAUUUAACCGGACCAGGAAUUGAAUUGUCAUUAAACCAUCUGACUUAGAGUGGACCAUCCUGGAAUUGAAUUGUCAUUAAACCAUCUAACUUGGCGAUCAGACUGUUGAACUGAAAGGAAUGCUAAAUGGUCACAUGGUGAGGGCCCAACCAUUGUGCUAUACAAUUCCUUUGAUGGAUAUAUGUAACAAUAUAUUAUAUUAAUGCUCUUUGCAAAUUUUUAUAAUAUAAAUAAUUUUAAAAAAUAUAAAUAUUUAUAUUGAUGCUUAUUUUUAUAAUAAUUAUUAACAAUAAAUAUGAAAAUAAUAUGAAUUAAUUAAUAUAAUAAUUUUUAAAAUUUUAAUAUUAUAUAUAUAUAGAUAUAUAUAUAUAUAUAUCUAUCUAAAUUUCUUAAAAUUAUUUUUAAUUUUAAUAAAAUAUAAAUUAUAUAUUUAUGAUAUCAUUAAUUUGACUGUGAUUCAACCAUUGGUCCAACUAGUGAAUCCUAAAUCGAUAACUUUUCUCAUUUAAUGAUUGAUCUAAUUCUGAAAACAUUAGUAUAAUAUAUUACUCAUGUAUUUCCAUAAAAUGAAAAUGGAAGGGAUUGUGACAACAAAUGUGCAAGGGACAAUAUAUAAACUACAUUAAUAUAUCAUUCAAACUAUGAAACUGUAGUUGAGACUAAAACCUCUUUAGUCUUUUCUUUGGAUUUCUUUUCCUUAUAGGAUAUUUUUGUGUAGGUUAUUAUUCAAAUUGAAGAAAUCAUGAAAUGUGUAUAUGAAAGCAAAAAGCUGCUUUUAUAGGAUAUUGAACAUGAUUUUAUAUAUGUUUUGAGUGUAAGAUUAAUUAAUCUAAUCGGAGGGCCUGAUUGACAUUGCAGUUAUGUUGAACUAAUAUUAAAGUGGGAAUUCAUUGUUUCUAAUAACGAGCUUGAGGCAUGAUGAGCCAUCAUGACCCAUUUUUUCUCUAAAAAUUCGUCCUCUUUAGAUUGUAAAGUAGAUGACGGUUUGUUUCUAGAAGGUGAAAUGGAAACUAUAAACUCAAAGGACCUAAAAUAAAAGAGUAAUUUGUAAUUUUAUAUGAUAAAAAUUUAAUUAAAUAUAAAACAAUUUUUUUCAAGAUUUCUUGAUAUUUGAAAAAAAAAAUGAAUGAAUGUCCAUAUAAAAUAGAAUUGUCCUUUAGUUAAGAAAAUACCAAACAAUAUACAAUUAGAGGAUUAAAAUGUAACUAUUAAUUUUAGAUUUCAAAUUGGUUUUGCAAUUUAAUAUAUACAUAUAUGUAUAUCAUGUUCAAAAGUAAUUUUUUUGUUUGUUUGUUAUGAAUUCAUUGGGAAGAUGUUGAUAUUAGGCUUUGGGUCACCAUUCAAUGUGCAAAUGCAAAGAAAAUACAUUUCACAUGUAUGCAAAUAUCUAAACAAUGUUUGAAGUGGUUCGGUGUCAAAAGCAAACAAGUAAAAUGAAGAAAGAAAACACUCAAAUAGAUUCAUAAUAUGGUGGCUUUUACAUGAUUAGUAUAAUUAAUAUAAAUGUUUUGUAAAAUUAGAACAAUUAUCUUGUAUAGCGCAAGUAUGAAGAUAUUGAAUUGAACAUAUGUGUGCUUGUGUGUCAAAUGAUAUUUUCCAAUGGUUUUGUAUGAAUACAAAUAUGAAAAUCAAGAAAAUAUUCAAAAAAUAAAUAAUAGAGUGACUUGUACAUAAUUUAUAUAAUUAAUACAAAUACCUUAUAUAUUUAACACAAAUACCUUAUACACUUAGUACAAAUACUUUAUACAUUAAAUACGAAUGUGGAGGAAAUGAAUUUCACAUUUGUGCAUAUAUGUCACACAAUGUUGGUAGGUCACUACAAGAAAAAAGAACAGCCUUUAUCAUUUUAUGUGUUAUAAGUCCUUAUAUCUUUUUGGACUUAUAUGUCAUCUAUCAAUCGUAAGGUCAAGGUAGGGGUAUUAGCAAACUUGACAUAUAAAUGUGCCCUCCUACUACCAUCCAUAUGUCAAUAUAACCACUUUGUAUUAUUCAUAACAUGUCACGAUUUGUGUUUAAAUAGGUCAUGACUUUUUUAAACAUAUCUCAAAAUAAGUAUCUUCUACCAUAGAUUAUACAUUGGAAUUAGAAGCAUAUGUCAUGAUAGCCUUUGAGAAAUUUAGAAUUAAGCUUUUAAUGUUGCAAUGAAGUAUGAUGUAAAAGAUAACCUGUUGGUCUUCAAAUUGAUAAAUGGUAGUUUUUUCAUUCAUUUUUUCAUUCGUUCAUGUACAGAGUAUAUGUAGAGGAUAAUCACCAUUCUAAGAAUGAGAAAGAAUGAUAUAAAGAAAUAACAACUAAUAUCCUAAUAUCUCAACUUUCCUAAUAUUUCAAUAUUCCUAAUAUCUCAAUAUUCCUAACAUUUCAACUUUCCUAAUAUCUAAACAUUCCUAAUAUCUCAACACUAAAUGAUACAAGGAAAGAAUGAUAUAAGGAAAGCAUUCCUAAUAUCUCAACACUCCCCCUCAAGUUGGUGCAUAGAUGUCACACAUGCCCAACUUGUUAAAAUUUUUUUGAGAACACUUGACUUGAGACAGCUUUGGUGAGGAUAUCAGCCAAUUGAUCUUCUGAUCGAAUCUUAGGCAAUUCCACAAUCUUAUCAUCCAACUUUUCCUUAAUGAAGAAUCUAUCCACCUCGACAUGCUUUGUACGAUCAUGUUGUACUGGAUUAUGAGCAAUGUCACAUGCGGCUUUAUUGUCACAAAACAAUCGGAUUGGUUGCCUAGAUAGGUAACCUAAAUCCUGUAAGAGGAGUCUUAGCCAUAAUGCCUCACAAAGUCCUGGAGCCAUACCUCUAAAUUCCGCUUCUGCACUUGAACGAGCGAUGACAUUCUGCUUCUUACUUUUCCAUGUCACAAGAUUACUACCUACAAAGGUAAAGUAACCAGAUGUAGAUCGCCUAUCAUCCACUGCACCGGCCCAAUCAACAUCAAUACAUACUUCUAUACUCUGAUGAUCAACAUUUUUAGCGAACAAAAUUCCCUUCCCAGGAGCAU
rnacentral:lncRNA from 1 species